AUUGAACGCUGGCGGCAUGCCUUACACAUGCAAGUCGAACGGUAACGCGGGGCAACCUGGCGACGAGUGGCGAACGGGUGAGUAAUGCAUCGGAACGUGCCCAGUAGUGGGGGAUAGCUCGGCGAAAGCCGGAUUAAUACCGCAUACGACCUACGGGUGAAGGCGGGGGACCGUAAGGCCUCGCGCUAUUGGAGCGGCCGAUGGCAGAUUAGGUUGUUGGUGGGGUAAAGGCCUACCAAGCCGACGAUCUGUAGCUGGUCUGAGCGGACGAGCAGCCACACUGGGACUGAGACACGGGCCAGACUCCUACGGGAGGCAGCAGUGGGGAAUUUUGGACAAUGGGGGCAACCCUGAUCCAGCCAUGCCGCGUGCGGGAAGAAGGCCUUCGGGUUGUAAACCGCUUUUGUCAGGGAAGAAACGCUUCGAGCUAAUACCUCGAGGUAAUGACGGUACCUGAAGAAUAAGCACCGGCUAACUACGUGCCAGCCGCCGCCGUAACAC
rnacentral:rRNA from 1 species